rnacentral:rRNA from 1 species
AGAGAGAGACAUGCGCGCAUAUCAAUAAGCGGAGGAAAAGUACUAACAAGGAUUCCCCUAGUAACGGCGAGUGAAGCGGGAAGAGCUCAAAUUUGAAAUCUUAAAGGGUUUCCCUUUACGAAUUGUAGUUUAAAGAAGUGUUUUCUGUUGAGGUUUUGGUAAAAGUUCUUUGGAAUAGGACAUCAUAGAGGGUGAGAAUCCCGUAUUUGACCUUUACUUUCAACUUUGUGAUACACUUUCAAAGAGUCGGAUUGUUUGGGAAUGCAGUCCAAAAUGGGUGGUAAAUUUCAUCUAAAGCUAAAUAUUGGCGAGAGACCGAUAGCGAACAAGUACCGUGAGGGAAAGAUGAAAAGAACUUUGAAAAGAGAGUUAAACAGUACGUGAAAUUGUCAAAAGGGAAGCGUUUGACACCAGUGUUGUUUUUCUGAAAAUCAAUUAAAGAACUGUUUAUGCUAAGCUGUUUAGACUUUAUCAGCUAACUGUUUAGUUUUGAGCUUUUCUUUAAUGCACUUUUCAGUUAACAAGUCAACAUCAAUUUCUUUUGCUGUAAAAAAGCUUGAGGAAGGUGGCUUGAGAUUCGUCUUAAGUGUUUAUAGCCUCUUGCCUAUGCAGUCGGAGAGAUUGAGGUCUGCAGCGUAGAUCCUUCGGGGCUAAAUGCAUUUGUGCUAAGUUAUAGCAUUUUAUAGACAACUUGUUGACUAUGAUUUGUCUUGUAGCUUACUCGCUUAUGUUAUUUUACCUACGCUUAGGAUGUUGAGCGCAUGUCUCUCUCU